rnacentral:rRNA from 1 species
GACGAACGCUGGCGGCGUGCUUAACACAUGCAAGUCGAACGAAGUGGCGAACGGGUGAGUAACGCGUAAUAAACCUGCCCUUCAGAGGGGGACAACAGGUGGAAACGACUGCUAAUACCGCAUACUGAAGGAGGGGAUUGCGUCUGAUUAGCUAGUUGGAGGGGUAAGGGCCCACCAAGGCGAUGGUAAGUAGCCGGUCUGAGAGGAUGAACGGCCACAUUGGGACUGAGACACGGCCCAGACUCCUACGGGAGGCAGCAGUGGGGAAUCUUCCGCAAUGAACUAAAGUCUGACGGAGCAACGCCGCGUGAGUGAUGACGGCCUUCGGGUUGUAAAGCUCUGUUAAUCGGGACGCGGUACCGGAAUAGAAAGCCACGGCUAACUACGUGCCAGCCGCCGCGGUAAUAC